GGCAGGGGUGUGGCUGGAUGGUUGUGUAGGCUGAGGUGAUGGCCAAUCGUACAGCCGAUGGAAGCCAGGUGCCCGUUGACAGAGCCUGAUGCAAAGGCCUCUUCCUGGGAAAGCAAUUUGGGGAAGUAGUUUAGGGUCAGGUGAGGAUGCUGGCUGCAGGAACUUCCAUUUUCCCCACAUCACCCCAAGCAGGCACCCCUUUCUCUCCCGUGCUAUGACAGGGGGGCGCUUGCCAGGCUCUGAUGAGGGGGCACAGACCGAGGCCCCAGUGUGAGGAGCAGAUGGCCCAGGAGGAGCAGGGGGUGCAUGGCUCCCACUUGACCAACCACUUGGUGACUGAAGCAGUGGGUCUCUUCUCAGCCUGCAUUUUCUGCAAUGUGAACUUGGGGUGAGUCCUGUGACCCUACAGGCCUCCUGCCUCUUGGGGCGUCAGAGGAGGCCAUGCCUGAGAAAUGGCUGAAAUACCAUUAAUUAUGGGCUUUGUAUGUAAACCUCAAAGUCUCAAGAGCUUCAGAUGAGCUGAAAUAGCUGCAGAGUCCUGGUAGGAGCCCAUAGGGACCAGGGCUGGUCUCUGGAGCAGCCAGCAGGGAGGCCGGCCGCCUUCAGGGCUGGGCCGGGCCCCGAGCCCCCCUGGAGAUGAGGGAGCAGCCGGGAGGAGCUUCCAGCGUCGGCGUGGUGGCUCGGAGUCCACUUUCAGCAGAAGAGAAAAUUCUCCCCACACGUGACCUCUCGGCUGCAAGGGUGUAAGCAAAACAAACGUAACCUUUGCACGAGAACUUGGCUGACGGGAGGUAGUGGCGCGGGCGCCUGUGCCCUCCCGGCCUGGCUGCCGGGCAGCACGCGGGAGCGGGGCAGGCUGGGAGGGUGCUCCCCCGUGAGCUGGGGCUGCAGGGGCAGAACGGUCCGGGCGAGGCUGAUCCCAGGCCUCGGGGCACACUGGUGGGGAGAGCAGGAAAAACAACAGCGGGGGGCUGGGCAGGCCCCCCAAGAUGGGUUGUUACUUGACGAUGAACUUGCAAGACCUUGUGAAGUGUACAUAGGUAGCCAGGAGACCUUCUGAGGAUUUCAAGUAAAAGGCACUUCCUUCAAUGUAAGCUGAAUUUUAAACACCAAAGAAUGAAUUCAGUCAGAGAUGUCAGCCAUGUGCUGCCCCCUGGAGACAACUGGAACCUGCUGGGUGACCGGGAUUCUGGGGGUGGGGUGAACAGAAAAGCACCCUGAGGAGUCACUGGGCGUCUGAGGCCAUUUUCUUGAACUGUGAAGGCCUGUGUUCCCAAAGCUGGUUUUGGAAGUUGAAGUAAAAACCAUCCACGGCUGUUAGAAGUCAUGAUUCAGGGACUGGCAGGCACCGCCAUCUUUUUGCAUCGUUUGAUAAACAGGGAAGCAGAUCGCUGGUUUGCAGGUCUGACAUGCCCGUGCUUGAGAGCCCAGAGACCCAGUGUCCUCACAGCUGACCCCUCCUGGACGGACACAGCCACCAGGAGGACUGGACGGCCCUCCACACGCAGAAACAGACCUGCCGCGGUGCCCCCGAUCGUGCAGCACAGGAGAUCCUUCAAGACGGAAAGACUGACUGCUCUACAGAGACUGUGUCUCCGGUCACGAGUGGCGGCGACCUGGUGCUCAAAGAAUGGAGGGAGGUAGGAAGUGUCAAAGUCUUCAGGAGACUCAAAUAUUGCUGAUACAUAGAUAAUCACCUACACAGAUGUAUCUCCUGGUUCCGUCCACCGCGAGGGCCCAGAGCAGUGACACCCAGUAGCGGAAGGAGCCAGGGACGUCCACUGCCACGUGCCCUCUGAUACGAAACACUGAUGAGAACACAGCAUCACGUCUGCGGUGUUUGUGUCCUGAGCUGAGUAAUGAAGCAUCAGACAAACCCAAAAUGAGGGACAUUUUACAAAACAACUGGCCUGUACUCUUCAGGAACCCAAUUUCAUUAAAGACAAAGAAAAGUCUGAAAAACGGUUCCAAGUUAAAGGAAGCCAAUGAGGCACAGCUCAAAGCACUGCUGUGACAAUAAUGCCACUGUGAGGCACAUCACUGGGGUACAGGCGGCAUCUGAUGAACUCCACAGGUUACACCAGGGGCUGGCAAACCAGCCUGUGUACCCAAACCACCUGCGGCCUGUUUUAUAAAUAAAGUUUUAUUGGAACGUAACCACGCCCACUUAUUUGUGUUGUCCAUGACUGCUUUCACGCUGCAUCAGCAGAACUGAGUAGUUGUGGCAGGGACAUAUGUAUGUACUUGUGUCAGUAAUAAAUAAUA